GCGAGAGUGGCGGAAUCUGGUAUACGCGCUGGAUUUAGGAUCCAGUGCCAGAAUGGCUUGGGGGUUCAAGUCCCCCCUCUCGCA
rnacentral:tRNA from 1 species